GACGAACGCUGGCGGCGCGCCUAACACAUGCAAGUCGAACGAGCGAGAGAGAGCUUGCUUUCUCGAGCGAGUGGCGAACGGGUGAGUAACGCGUGAGGAACCUGCCUCAAAGAGGGGGACAACAGUUGGAAACGACUGCUAAUACCGCAUAAGCCCACGACCCGGCAUCGGGUAGAGGGAAAAGGAGCAAUCCGCUUUGAGAUGGCCUCGCGUCCGAUUAGCUAGUUGGUGAGGUAACGGCCCACCAAGGCGACGAUCGGUAGCCGGACUGAGAGGUUGAACGGCCACAUUGGGACUGAGACACGGCCCAGACUCCUACGGGAGGCAGCAGUUGGGAAUAUUGCACAAUGGGGGAAACCCUGAUGCAGCGACGCCGCGUGGAGGAAGAAGGUCUUCGGAUUGUAAACUCCUGUUGUUGAGGAAGAUAAUGACGGUACUCAACAAGGAAGUGACGGCUAACUACGUG
rnacentral:rRNA from 1 species